rnacentral:rRNA from 1 species
UACGGGGGGGGCAAGCGUUGUUCGGAAUUACUGGGCGUAAAGGGCUCGUAGGCGGCUCGCUAAGUCAGACGUGAAAGCCCUCGGCUCAACCGGGGAACGGCGUCUGAGACUGGCAAGCUUGAAUCCGGGAGAGGGAUGCGGAAUUCCAGGUGUAGCGGUGAAAUGCGUAGAUAUCUGGAGGAACACCGGUGGCGAAGGCGGCAUCCUGGACCGGCAUUGACGCUGAGGAGCGAAAGCCAGGGGAGCAAACGGG